rnacentral:rRNA from 1 species
AGACAGAGGGUGCAAACGUUGUUCGGAAUUACUGGGCGUAAAGCGCGUGUAGGUGGCUUCGCAAGUCGAAUGUGAAAACCCCAGGCUCACCCUGGGAAGAGCAUCCGAAACUGCGUCGCUAGAGUCCCGGAGAGGAAGGUGGAAUGCUUGGUGUAGGGGUGAAAUGCAUAGAUAUCGUCAAGAACACCGAUAGCGAAGGCAGCCUGCCAGUGGGGUACCGACGCUGAGGCACGAAAGUGCGGGGAUC